GUGUACCACGCGUACACGGCGGUCCCGCAGCGCCGCUCACGCCCACCUGACGACUGCCCGCGACGUUCUGUUAGCC
rnacentral:sRNA from 2 species